UCGAGUUAGGGUCUUCUAGGCCCGACCUCCCAACCCUUUGUUUACUGAACCACUGUUGCUUCGGCGGGCCCGUCUCACGACCGCCGGAGGAGCGCUGAAAGGCGUGUCCUCUGGCCCGUGUCCGCCGAUGGCCAACCUCAAAAACUCUGUAUAAAUCGUGUCUUUAUGUCUAAGUCAAUGAUUGAAUUAAAAGCAA
rnacentral:misc_RNA from 1 species